CAGGGACGCUACCUCCCCCUCCUGGACAGAUUGGGGAAGUGCAGGCAGAGUCUUGCCGCCAUCCUGAGGCUAAUUUUAACUUGAUUUCCUUGCAGAUACCAACCAGCGCAUUCCUGCCCCCUGUACUCUCCCCGGUGGGUCUCUGUAUCAUUUCUAAGUCUUUCCUCCCUACCCUGGCAUUUGGCCCAGGCCCUAGACCUCGGGGUGUUCUAACCGAAAGUGCAGAAGGAUGAGGGGAAAGAGAGCUCCUCUCUCACCUCUCCAAGCCAAGUUUCAGGAUCAUUGUCACAGGCCUCAUACGGCCCAUUUGCAGCCAGUGUCCGCAUUCUCACAGGUUUGGAAUAAGAUGUGAAUGGCUUCGAACGCUGGCAGGAAGGCCUGGAUUUUAUCCAUAGUUCAUUAGGAGCCUCUGUGAGUUGCUGAGCAAGAGAGGGACAGGAGCAGGACUGUCCUUCACAAAGAUAAAGUAGACCAUGGGCAUUCACUUACUGGUUUCUUCCUUCCUUCCUUCCAUUUAACAGGCUCUGGGAAUCCAGCAGUGGCCAGACAGAUGAGGUUGGCCUUCACGGAGCAUGGUCUGGGGCAACAUAUAUGGGAGGGUGCAUUUGGAUACAGAGGGACAUCACCCCAGUUCUGGAUCCUGCUGAGUCCUGAGAUGAGGUGAAGCUCAUUAUAAGAGAAUCAGCUCCUCCUGCCCAGACAGGAUAAUCACUUUGGAGACAAGAUGAAGCAGAGGCCAGGGGACCCAGACACGCCAUAUGGAGAGAUGCACCUGCAACGCUCAGGUGUUCAUAGAAGAUUCUCUGCGUUUGGGAGGUGUGAUGACAGGGAAACAUGAAGGAGUUCUUGGAAGGUGCUGAGCUUAGGGUUCCCAGAAGCUGACCCUGAGACAAGGAUUCCUACGAAAGUAAAGAAAGCAUUCCAGGCAAAGCCAAGGCAGCAAAAUGAAGCCAGUGAUAGAUGCAGCCACAUCAGCUGUUAGCUUGCUACGGUUUUAGUCCCUUCAUCAUCAACAGCUUCAAGAUCCCAGUGGAAAAAUGGAUGAUCAGAUAGAAGAGCUGAGAAAAGGUGAGCCACUUCUAGUUUGCAGGAACAGGA